UAUUAAAAAUUUCAUUCAUUUCUACUGUUAAAAACUGGUAUGUCUGGCAAAAUAACCAAUGACACGUGCGUACCCCUCAUGUUGACAUAUAAAGACUUAGUUUUUAAUAGUAGAAAUGGAUAAUUUUUUUAACA
rfam:Gossypium raimondii Chr04_contig_33, whole genome shotgun sequence.